UAAUGACUGCAACAAAAACAAAUCAAAUUACAGACACUUAUAGAUUGUAUUCUAAACAUUUCAGAUUAUUAUUGCAUGGCUACUGUUUUAAAUAAGAAAAGAUACACCAAGAUACUUGAAACCAUAUAUUUCUCCCUUGCUAAAACUUAGGAAAACAUUUCCCUAUCCGCUUUUUUUAGUCUUUGUACUGAAAUAUAGGUUUUGAGGUUUAAACUAUAGCAUACAAUAUAGAUCGUAAGUGCUAUUUAUUUCCUUCCAAGUAAAUGGACCGCAUCAAGAAUCCUAAAUUGUGGCUACUAAUAGGGAACUUUUGUAAAAAUUAUAAACGACCAUAUUUUUAAUAUUGUGUUUAACACAACUGUAUUAAAACAUUUAAUAUUUGAAAAUUUUAAGCCGAUAUGACCUCAAUAUAAGGUCAGAUCGACCAGUGAGACGGUGGGGGAUAAGCUUCAUCGUCGAGAGGGAAACAGCCCAGAUCACCAGCUAAGACCCCUAAAUGACCGCUCAGUGAUAAAGGAGGUAGGGGUGCAGAGACAGCCAGGAGGUUUGCCUAGAAGCAGCCACCCCUGGAAGAGUGCAUAAUAGCUCACUGAUUGAGCGCUCUUAAGCCGAAGAGGAAAAUGUUGUAUCCUCACAAAUUCAAGGAUAUGAAGUGAGUUGAGGCAACCACGAGAGGGCACAUACAUCAUAAGUCCAUGAUGAUUUAAUUAAAAACCCAAAUUUACUAUAAAGGUGCAAUUAGAAAGCAAUAUGAUAAUAUCUCGAACAUACCCUUGAUCUUGGUUAAAUUUUACGACUUGAUCUUGUUGCCUCAGCAUUCAAUGCAUCAACUGUGUCUCCAACACACCAAGUAAUCAAGUAUAAUCCAUCACCUCUGCUCUUCGUCUCUUCCUAGUUCCAUCAAAUCCCAUUAUCCCAUGCUAUUUGUAGGAUGGGCAAUGCGUACUGUGGGUGCCUUGAAGCCAUCACCAUUAAGCGGCACCCAAUCCUUUAGUUCCCCUGAUCCCAAAAACGAUCCCAAAAACAAGUGUGGUAUUUAGGUGGAUAUUGGAUAAAUUAAAAAUGUAAAGAUUCAGAAAUAAUGUUAAUUAAUACCUCUUCACACACGCACAUAUCACCUUGAUUAUUACUCCCUCCGUCCCCCUGAGUUGUAUACAUUGGGGGACGGGGACGCGGCACGGACUUUAAUGCUCCUUUAAAGUGUAGUUGUGUAAUUUAUUUUUAAAAUUUUUUUUCUGAAUUAAAGUUUGGAUGUUAUAUUUUUAUUCAGAAAAAGAAAAUCUCAAAAAUAAGUUACGGAACUAUAUUUUAUAAGAGCAUUGAAAUGCGUGUCGAGCAGUUGAAAAGAAACGUAUACAAUUAAAUGGGACAGAGGGAGUAUACUUUAAGUUAUUCUUCUUUCUUUAUUGAUAAAGAUAUUGAGCAAUAUAUGUAACAGGCUACAGCUUAAAAGACAUAUACCAGAACAUCAUGUCAAAAUGUCGCUAAGAUAACCUGCAGGAUAUACCAACACAUUAUUUCGAAGCGCCUCUUAAAUGUCAACAACGUAUAUCAGUGGCGGAACCAGGAGAUCAAAUCAUCCGGGGCUCAAAAAAUAUUCGGGACUCAAAUAUUUAACAACAUUUGAUUGAAGGAAAAAUAUCAGUUAAUACAAAGAUUUUUGAAACUUACCCGAGGCUCAAAAAAUUUCGUUAUAUCAUUUUUAGAGAACAUUCGGCGAUGAAAAAAAAAAUUCUACUGGUUUUUUUUCUCCUAGUCGGGGCUCCAGCCCCCCUUCGCCCCCCCUGAUUCCGCCCCUGGCGUAUAUGACAAUUAAUAAUGACAACCUCAUUUCAAAGAUGAUGCCAUGAACAGUCACAGAUAUGCAAUCAAACACCUGCAGUUGAGAUACUAAUUUGCGAACCUAAAUCCCCUUCUCAAGUUAUGUUUAAUAAUC
rnacentral:lncRNA from 1 species